rnacentral:rRNA from 1 species
AAAAAAGGUUUUCAGGGUGUGACCUGCGGGGGACAUUAAAGUGUUAGCCUGUGCACCUAGUGUACAGGCGAAACUCCACCCUUGACUACUAUACCACAUGUUGCUUUGGCGGGCCUGCCCUCGGGCUGCCGGGGUUUCCCUGGCCCGCGCCCGCCGAAGAAUAAUGAACCCUUUUUGAAUUGGACGUCUGAGUUGAUUAUCAAUCAUUAAAACUUUCAACAAUGGAUCUCUUGGUUCCGGCAUCGAUGAAGAACGCAGCGAAAUGCGAUAAGUAAUGUGAAUUGCAGAAUUCCGUGAAUCAUCGAAUCUUUGAACGCACAUUGCGCCCCCUGGUAUUCCGGGGGGCAUGCCUGUCCGAGCGUCAUUGCAACCUUCAAGCGCGGCUUGUGUGUUGGGCCUCGUCCCCCGUGGACGUGCCCGAAAGGCAGUGGCGGCGUCCGUUUCGGUGCCCGAGCGUAUGGGAAUCCUUAUAAGCUCAACAGGCCCGGCGGCGCUGGUCGAAACCAUAUUUUACCGGUUGACCUCGGAUCAGGUAGGGAUACCCGCUGAACUUAAGCAUAUCAAUAAGCCCGGAGGA